AAUUCUGCUGGUGAAGUCUCUGGGCUAAGUGUCUACAGUUUCAUCCAGAAGGAGGUAGGGAGGGGAGGGGGAACAACUUUAUAAAUGUAUAUCUUGUUUUUAGGUAAAUAGGGGGAAGGCACAGAGUUUUUCUUGUAUCUACUUUUUCUUAAAAUUGCCUUCAGCUCAAAAUAAUCCUUAUGCCAAAGUGGCAUAUUUUGGAGUAGCAUAUUCUGCUACCCUUCAAAACCAUACCAAGAACAAAGUUCCUAAGAAUAUACAAAAUGCAACUCAAAUAGGGUCACAGAGAGAGGGACUCACUGAAAGCUAACAGAGAAAUCUGACAAGGAAAAUUAGGCUAAGGAAUCCAUAAUAUCACAGAAAAGUAAGAAGCCUUGCUUAUCUUAUAGGAUUUGCCCAACCAUUGAUGGGUUCAACAGAUGUUCCCUAAAUUCUUACUAAGUUACAGGUGAAGAGUUCAAGAUGUCACUUUAUGGGAUCAUUAGACUUGAAACUGUCUUUUGUUUGCAUUAACAUGCACAACCACAUGCCUUAAUUGAUAACUAAACUGAGGUGGGAUUAAUUGAUACAGCUUUCUGAAAUUGAGAAUCCUAAAUUAGAACAUUUUCCUAAUUAGAACAACUUGACAUCUCCUUGGAAGUGGGACAAGAGUAUCUACAAGCUGACAAAGAAAAAGAAAAAGAUGUGAUCUCCAUGUCUUAUCCAUUCUCUCCUCAUCACACGACAUUGUGAUGGUGCCCAUUUAACAGAGCCUGGGGAAAAUACUUUUGUUGGAUCCAUGACAUUGAUAAUCUGUGGUGCUGGAGACGGCUCUUCCUUCAAGUGACCAUGGCUACAAAUAUCUGAGAAGCUGAAUGAAACGUCUGAAAAGCUAUUUCACCACAGAUAGGGGUGGCUGCACUAGAAGACCUCUAAUUCUAAGAUUUAAAAACUAUUAAUGAUAUAUUAAAAUAGAUAAUUUUCA